AUCGCUUCUCGGCCUUUUGGCUAAGAUCAAGUGU
rnacentral:snRNA from 1 species